UAUCAGUACCAAAUGAACCAUCUAGCCGUUCAUUAGCUAUAACAAGUGGUUCUUCAAAAAACUUAAAAUCUACAAAAAAACUAACCUUAAAAUCGAAAACAAAAUUAACCUCAAAAAGUAUCAAGAUUUUAAAAUCAUUAGGUUACAAUGUCGUUAAUAUCAAACGUACUCCAAAUCUUUCGAAAACCUACACAAGACGAAAGUAUUGAAAGGACAGAAGAACACACAUAUAAUCCUCAAAAUCAACUAUUUAGAAAUAAUGAUCGCAUAAAUUUUAUUAUUAAUCAAGAAAACGUAUGGAUAUUAUGGAAAAAAUCAUAUAUUAAAAUCAAUUGUACCUUAGAAUGGGAUCCACUUCCUGCAAACACAACUGAAGAAGCAUUUGGUCAAGUUACUUUAACCAAUAAUAUCGGUCCAUUUUUAUUUGAUUCUAUUUCAUAUUACCUUAAUAAUACUGAAAUAGAUAGUGUAGACCAAGUUGGUUUGGUUUCAACAGUUAAAACAUAUCUUUGUUUUAUGAAAAAUGAAUUUGAGGAAUAUCAGUCUCUAGGAUGGACAAAAAAUUUAAAUGAUCAACUUUAUACAUUUGAUCCGAGAACUAAAAAGUUUUCUCUUAAAUUAAAAUUAUCUCAAAUGUUAAAUUUACCAUUUACUUAUGAACGUAUUAUGUGUGGCACUCAUAAAAUAAGUUUAGUAAGAUCUAGAACAGAUGAUAAUUGUUAUGUGAGUACAGGAGUAAGAAAAGCUCGAAUUACUAUAACAGAUAUGAAUUUAGUAGCUUUACAUGUUUAUCCUGCUGCUAAAAUUCAACUUCAGUUACUUGAUUCAAUAAAAAAAAAUCGUGCAAUUCCAUUAGCUUUUCAAAAAUGGGAAAUACAGUCUAAGGAUUUACCAGACGCUAAAACAACUUCAUGGAAAAUUCAAACCAUUCAACGUGUUGAACGUCCUAAUUGGAUUAUUGUAUUUUUUCAAACUGAACGAGAUUUUAAUUCACGAAAAAAUAGCACUCAUUUUGAUCAUAUUAACUUACAAAAUAUAAGAUUAAAAAUUAACAGCAGAUAUAUUCCUUACGAUAAGUGGAGACUUGAUUUUACAAAAAAUUAUUAUGAAGAAGCUUAUGAUGCUUAUACUGAGUUUUAUAAAACCUAUUAUCAAAAAAAUCGCCAUCAACCAUUUUUAAAUUAUAAUGAAUAUAAAAAUUCACCUUUAUUUAUAAUUGACUGUACGACUAAUGUACACGAAAAUGCUUUCUCUUCCGAAAUGGAUGCCACAAUCGAAAUUGAAAGUUCAGAAAAUUUUCCAAUUCAUACAAAAGCCUACUAUAUAAUUAUUCAAGAUCGAGUCGGAAGUUAUAAUGCAAUAUCAGAAGCAAUUACCAUGUUUCCAUAAUCUUAAUUUAGAUUAGAUUCGUUCAAUUUAGUUUAAUUUAGUUUAAUUUAGUUUAGUUUAAUUUAAUUUAAUUAUAGUAAUUUUAAAUGAAAAUUCAAUAAGUAUGAGUCAUUAUCUUUCGAGUAUAAAUUUAGAACCAACUGCAGAUAAGAAAUAUUAUAUAAAAAAAAAACAACUGUUUCCAUGUAUCAGAACAUCUUGGGGUUUUUAACACAAAACACGAUGACAAAAUUAAAUACAGGUUUCAACGUUAAAGAAAAGAACAAAAAAAACGAAAAGAAUGAAAAGAACAAAAAAAACCAAAAUAAUGAAGAGGAGGAAAUUAAUAAAGAUAUUUCUUGGGACGUACGAGUAAUUAAAAAAGGCGAUGACUUUUCACUUCUUUUAUCGUUUUUUUUUACUUACGCUUUUAAUGCAAUAGGAUUUUUAAUAAUAAUGAUAAUGUGUUUUUCCAAAAAAACAUAUAUUACAAUGGCUGGGUAUUAUGGAGCUUUAAUGGGAUUAGCAGUAUCGAUACUUCACUACGGUCUAAGUUUAUUCUUUACAUUCCUAAGGACUAACAAAACUGACACUUCCAUUUUAAUUUCUUCUUUAUUAAUAUGUAUUUCAGCAUUGGUGUUGUAUAUCAAUUGGAUAAUGUUUUUUUAUAAAUUUUAUAACUUUCAAAAUCAAGCGUGUAUAUUAAUUACAAAAAAUAAAAUAUCUAAUCCUUAUUUUGUAUUUUUAUUAUUAUUCCUUCCAAACUUAUAUAUAACAUUAAAAUUUAUCUUGUUUUAAUCAGUUUUAUAAUGGUUAUCGACUUGUUCGGACGUAACUCAAUAUCAUCAGGAUAUACUCGUAAUAUCCUAAAUGAUAAAUUUGAGAACAUAAUUAAUAAUAUAAUACCCACUGAAAUUGAUGAUAAAUUAAAUAAAUCAAUAAACAAAAUAGAAAAACAUAUUUUCGAUUUAACUAAAAAAAUAAACAAAAUAAAUAAUCUCUUUGAAAAAGAGAAAACCAACUUAACAAUCAAUAAGGAAAUAAUUGAAAAUCAUUUUAAUAAAAUGGAACAAUAUACUCGUAAAAUCCUAAAUGAUAAGUUUGAGAACAUAAUUAAUAAUAUAAUACCUAUUGAAAUUGAUGAUAAAUUAAAUAAAUCAAUAAACAAUAUAGAAAAACAUAUUUUCGAUAUAACUAAAAAAAUAAAUAUAAUAGAUAAUCUAUUUAAAAAAGAGAAAACCAACUUAAUAAUCAAUAAGGAAAUAAUUGAAAAUCAUUUUAAUAAAAUGGAACAAAUUUUAUUUGAUUUACAUAAAGUAUUUGAGAAGUUUAAACAAUAUGAUAAAGAGAUGAACAGUAAAAUAGGAAUCUUAGAUAGUAAACUUAAAAAUAUUAACAAUAUUAUUAAUUCAAUUACCAAUGUGCUAGAUAAAAGAAUGAACAAUAAAAUUACAACUAUACUUGACACUCAUAUGAAUAAUAAAAUUGAUAUCAAAUGGAAAAUGUUAAUGAAUAAUACUAAUGAACUAACGAAUCGAAUUAAAAAAUUGGAAAAAGAAUAUAAUACAUUAGAUAAAAAAAGAACGACCAUACCAAAAACUAUAACUAACAGCAAAAAAAUGAAAAAUACAAAUAAAAAACAAACCAACGAAAAAAUUGAUUCUUAUGAGAAUACUGAAAUAGAUGAUGUUAAAAUAGAACCUUUACCCCACAAUAAAAACAAAUGUCUUCCAGGUUACCAAGCUGACAAGCAUGGGCAUUGUAGAGAAGUAUAUUAAACAUGUCUUUUUAGGCUUAUAGGUACCUUAUUCUACAAGAAUUAAAUAAAAAUAUACAAUUAGUAAAAUACAAUUAUAACAACAUGUAAUAAUGAAAUAAUAAAUUAUUAAUGAACAUUCCCUUCUUGUUAGUCACAAGGUUACACGUGUAAUAUUAUUGUGAUUUGUGGUUUUUUAUCUUAUCAAUUACUAUCUUGCUCCUAAUUAAAAUUUAUUUAUCAACGGAAAUUGUGGUUAGAAACAUUCUAUUUCUGUUAGUCAUAGGGUUACACGUGUGAUAUUUAUUGUGGUUUGUGGUUUUUUAUCUUAUCAAUUACUGUCUUGUCUAUAACUUUGUUAUUGUGAUUAGUCUUUGUUACUGUGAUUUGUAAUUUUUAUCUUAUCAAUUACUAUCUUGCCCCUAAUUAAAAUUUAUUUAUCAACGGAAAUUGUGGUUUUCAUGUCUCAUCCUGUUGUUCAACCCAACUUUAUAUAAAGACGUUCAUGUACAUGGUAUUUCGAGUAGUGUCUAGUCAAACGUAGUGUAGUCGAAAAACUGUCUUAAAAAAAAUAUAUAUAUAUAUAAUGUCGUUAUAAUGUCGUUACCAAAUAUUGAAUUUCGAUUAACUACACUAGAACUUGAAGAAUUCUUAAGCAGUGUAUACGACCUUAAAGAAAAAAUAAUUCUCCAAAAAGUAUGGAAGACGUUAGCAAAUUUAAAUUCAAAUGGACGGAAAUCUUUUUUGAGUGGAGGAUACGCAGCAUUCAUAAAAGGCUACACAACAGCGUAUACAGACGUGGAUAUUUAUAUAGAAGGUAAUCCACGUAAAGAAGAGAUCACUGAUCUCACAAAAUACUAUAACAUAAACAAUUCAAAUAUUAUCACAUAUUUCGAAAUGGAGACGUCGAAUCUAAAUAUCUUAUUUAAUUUUAUAUACGUAAAGCGACCUUGGGAUAAUAUCAUAAUAAAUGCUCUGCAGAUAAUUAGUGAAUUUGAUAUAAAUAUAUGUAAAAUCGCAUAUUUUCCAAUCGAAAUCAACGGAGGGUUAAAAAUACAAUUAGUUGAAAUGGUAUUAUCCAGUAAAGAUUUAUCAUUUCAAAAAGCAAAAACGGUAGAACGGGCUCUAAAAUAUGAACUACGAUUAAAAGAAAAUAUAUCAGAAAAACUGCUUGCUAUACAGAAAUCGAGUAAUUCAAAUCCAAAAAUAUAUAUAAAUUUGAAAGAAAACGCUACUGUAGAAGACAAAGAUGCUAUGUUCCGAAGAUUAAAAAGCCACUUUGAAAAAAAUAAAUCAACUUCUUUUCAGGAUACAUCUACUGACGGACUGAUGAAUUGCGUAUCAUUAACAUCAUCAUCAUCAUCAUCUACAAGCCUACCAUUAGGACUUAUGACACCAGCAAAGGAAACCUCUAAUUUUUUUCAGGAAAAAUCAACCGAUAGAUGUGAGAAGGACAACAACAAAAAGACCGCUGAUUUUUUUAGGAUAAUUCAGUUCAACAGAUGGAAUCAUCGCCAAUAGGGGAGGACCACUGCGCUUCACAUCAUCAACAGGAUUCAGGCUUUAGGACAGAGGACGAUCUCCAGAAGUCCAAAAAUCCACACCACUGUUGUUAGACGUCGUCAUAAUCUUUUUUUAACUUUAUUAUUAUUAGCCAGUCUAAAAACAAAAAGUCAAGCCGAAGGUUAUUGGGGGGUUGUUAGGGGAAAAUCCUAGACACAGACCAGAUCACCUCUCUCAACCCCCCGCAAAAAAACCUUCGGCUUGACAAAAAAAAAAAAUAAAAAAAAAUAAAAAAAAAUAAAAAAAAUAAAAAAACCUACCUAUACCUACCCUACCUAUACCUACCUACCUCGUUUGUACCGUAUGUAAAUAUAUGAUAUAUUGUAUGUUGUUUUGUUUUAAUAUAUUAUUUUUAAAAUACUCAUAUUAAUGUAAAAUAUUAUUUUAUAAAUACAUAAUGUGUUACAUA